ACGUGGAAGCACCGGUUCCCGUACGAUCACCGAAGUUAAGCAACGUCGAGCCUGGUUAGUACCAAGAUAGUUGACCAUUUAGGAAUAC